GUCUGUGGUCAUACUACCCUGAAUGCUCCUGAUCUUCUCUGAACUCAGAAGCCAAGCAGGGCCGAGCCUGGUUAGUACUUGAACAGGAGAAUGCAUUCU
rnacentral:rRNA from 1 species